rnacentral:pre_miRNA from 1 species
UUACUUGCAGCUGCAGCAUUAUCAAGAUUCACAUAGAAAUCAUGUGGAGCAGAAAAUAUGUUUCUAAAAAUCUGCCACCCCUAAGUUUUUUGAAUAUGAGAAUCAUGAUGAUGCUGCAUCAGCAAAUAA